UGCACCUGGCCAAAAAUUCUUUAUAUUUUAUAACACUGGCUCAUUCAGAGUACAUGUGAAAGUUUGUUUUGGGAUGUUGCCCAGGUUUGAUUAUCAUUAAAAAUACUUUUAUCUAUGAAGAAAAAAAAACUUAUAAAGAAAAUGAUUAACUUUCUCUUUGCUUCUUAGUCUGAUGACCGGGAUUCCAAGCGGGAUUCCCUUGAGGAGGGGGAGCUGAGAGAUCACUGCAUGGAGAUCACAAUAAGGAACUCCCCGUAUAGAAGAGAAGACUCAAUGGAAGACAGAGGAGAAGAAGAUGAUUCUUUGGCCAUCAAACCACCCCAGCAAAUGUCUCGGAAAGAAAAAGUUCAUCACAGAAAAGAUGAAAAGAGAAAAGAAAAAUGUAGGCAUCAUAGCCAUUCAGCAGAAGGGGGUACAGAAGCAUUUACUUUCUUUGACAUCAUGUUCAAGUGUGGUUUCUUUCCUGUUCCUACUCUUCUGCCUUCCCCAGAGCACCACUGAAAAACCAGAGAAAGCAAACUGUAGCUGAAAGCAUAAUGGUGUCACAGACCGUUCAGAAGGGCUAUAGAGAGAA
rnacentral:lncRNA from 10 species